AAAGGCUCUUCAAGGCGACUACGUCCUUCAAAUCUCCAGAGUUGAAAGCUUUGUUAAUCUCUGAUAAAUCAGCCACAAUUAUUGCACAAUCAACAUCCCUCUUAGUGUACCUUUUAUUUGAAAUCUUAUUAUUAUUAUCAUAAUCAUCGUGUCGAAAACAAGGUUGAUUAUGUCGAACGCCACGUGUCAUCCAUGUAGAAACUUCAUCUAAUCCCUCAAUCAUAUCAUUAGUAUCUAAUCCCCUUGUAUCAUACACACAAAAUCCACUUCUCAUUGAUCUCAACACAUU
rnacentral:misc_RNA from 1 species